rnacentral:rRNA from 1 species
UACGAAGGGGGCUAGCGUUGCUCGGAAUCACUGGGCGUAAAGCGCACGUAGGCGGCUUUUUAAGUCAGAGGUGAAAUCCUGGAGCUCAACUCCAGAACUGCCUUUGAUACUGAGAGGCUUGAGUUCGGGAGAGGAGAGUGGAAUUCCCAGUGUAGGAGGUGAAAUUCGUAGAUAUUGGGAAGAACACCGGUGGCGAAGGCGGCUCUCUGGACCGAGACUGACGCUGAGGCGCGAAAGCGUGGGGAGCAACAGG